GAUGAACGCUGGCGGCGUGCCUAAUACAUGCAAGUCGAACGAAACUUCUUUAUCACCGAGUGCUUGCACUCACCGAUAAAGAGUUGAGUGGCGAACGGGUGAGUAACACGUGGGCAACCUGCCCAAAAGAGGGGGAUAACACUUGGAAACAGGUGCUAAUACCGCAUAACCAUAGUUACCGCAUGGUAACUAUGUAAAAGGUGGCUAUACUACCGCUUUUGGAUGGGCCCGCGGCGCAUUAGCUAGUUGGUAGGGUAAAGGCUUACCAAGGCAAUGAUGCGUAGCCGAAUUGAGAGGUUGAUCGGCCACAUUGGGACUGAGACACGGCCCAAACUCCUACGGGAGGCAGCAGUAGGGAAUCUUCCACAAUGGGCGAAAGCCUGAUGGAGCAACGCCGCGUGGGUGAAGAAGGUCUUCGGAUCGUAAAACCCUGUUGUUAGAGAAGAAAGUGCGUGAGAGUAACUGCUCACGUUUCGACGGUAUCUAACCAGAAAGCCACUGCUAACUACGUG
rnacentral:rRNA from 1 species